rnacentral:rRNA from 1 species
CCGAGUCUUAAUUGGGCGUUAAGUUGCAGGGUAUAGACCCGAAACCCGGUGAUCUAGCCAUGGGCAGGUUGAAGGUUGGGUAACACUAACUGGAGGACCGAACCGACUAAUGUUGAAAAAUUAGCGGAUGACCUGUGGCUGGGGGUGAAAGGCCAAUCAAACCGGGAGAUAGCUGGUUCUCCCCGAAAGCUAUUUAGGUAGCGCCUCGUGAAUUCAUCUCCGGGGGUAGAGCACUGUUUCGGCUAGGGGGCCAUCCCGGCUUACCAACCCGAUGCAAACUGCGAAUACCGGAGAAUGUUAUCACGGGAGACACACGGCGGGUGCUAACGUCCGUCGUGAAGAGGGAAACAACCCAGACCGCCAGCUAAGGUCCCAAAGUCAUGGUUAAGUGGGAAACGAUGUGGGAAGGCCCAGACAGCCAGGAUGUUGGCUUAGAAGCAGCCAUCAUUUAAAGAAAGCGUAAUAGCUCACUGGUCGAGUCGGCCUGCGCGGAAGAUGUAACGGGGCUAAACCAUGCACCGAAGCUGCGGCAGCGAACGUAUCACUUAAAGCGAUUCAGCGGGUUACGAUUGACGGAGCGAAGCGACGUCAAAGCGUAUACAAAGUCGAGUCGGUUUAAGGAUACGUUCGUUGGGUAGGGGAGCGUUCUGUAAGCCCGUGAAGGUGGCCUGUGAGGG